rnacentral:rRNA from 1 species
UACGAAGGGGGCUAGCGUUGCUCGGAAUCACUGGGCGUAAAGCGCACGUAGGCGGAUUGUUAAGUCAGGGGUGAAAUCCUGGAGCUCAACUCCAGAACUGCCUUUGAUACUGACGGUCUUGAGUCCGGGAGAGGUGAGUGGAACUCCGAGUGUAGAGGUGAAAUUCGUAGAUAUUCGGAAGAACACCCGUGGCGAAGGCGGCUCUCUGGGACGGUACUGACGCUGAGACGCGAAAGCGUGGGGAGCGAACAGG